UACGUAGGGUGCAAGCGUUGUCCGGAAUUAUUGGGCGUAAAGAGCUCGUAGGCGGUCUGUCGCGUCGGCUGUGAAAUCCCGAGGCUCAACCUCGGGUCUGCAGUCGAUACGGGCAAACUAGAGUAUUGCAGGGGAGACUGGAAUUCCUGGUGUAGCGGUGAAAUGCGCAGAUAUCGGGAAGAACACCCGUGGCGAAGGCGGGACUCUGGGCCGAUACUGACGCUGAGGAGCGAAAGCGUGGGGAGCAAACAGG
rnacentral:rRNA from 1 species